rnacentral:rRNA from 1 species
AUGUGGGAUGAUGCCCUGAAGGAAAAUGGGCAGCGCUGGAAGAGGUUUUGUGCACCUUUUAGAAGUGUCCAAGAGGGAAGUGUGAUGUUGGUCACCACUAGAUGUCCAACAGUUGACGAGGGGGUGCGCACAAUGGAUCAUGUUAUAUUGGAAGGUCUAAAGGGUGACGUUUUUUGGAAUUUCUUCAAAUUGUGUGCGUUUAGAUCUGAGAGUUCUAACAAUAAUCCUGAGUUGGAGUGCAUUGGUAGAAGAAUACUUCCUAAAUUGAAGGGUUCUCCGUUGGCCGCGAAAACUCUCGGUCGCAUGUUAAGCAUGGACCUUCAAGCAUCACAUUGGAAUUCUAUACUUGAGAGUGAACUUUGGGAGUUGAGACAAGAGGAGACUGACAUUUUGCCUGCCCUUCGGUUGAGCUUCAUGUAUUUACCAUUCCAUUUGAAGCAAUGUUUCUCAUUCUGUGCUGUGUACCCAAAAGAUUACAAAUUUGAGUUGGUUUCCUUAGCUCGGAUUUGGAGAGCGGAAGGCUUUGUGGAUCCCGAAGGUGGUGCUACAAUUCUAUCUACAAGUUGGUAG